rnacentral:lncRNA from 1 species
GCAAUUUCAAGGAUACUCAUGUAGAAUUCAUGAAUAUUUUCAUCUUCUUUCAUCCUUAAGUUUUCAAACUUGAAGGUGAGCAGCUGGAGUCUAGACAUCUUUACCCUAGAGGUGCCUUCAUGAGUGGUCUUGAGAAUGUACCAAGCUUCUUUGGCCACUUCACCGUUGUUUACCAGCCUGAAAAUAUUUUUGUCUACCCUAUUGAAUAUUGCAUUCAAGGCUUUAGAGUUUCCAA